rnacentral:tRNA from 1 species
UAGGGUGUGUUGCCUUCUUCUUGA